AACAAGGCGUACCUGCGGACCUGCGGAGGGAUCAUUACAAGUGACCCCGGUCUUACCACCGGGAUGUUCAUAACCCUUUGUUGUCCGACUCUGUUGCCUCCGGGGCGACCCUGCCUUCGGGCGGGGGCUCCGGGUGGACACUUCAAACUCUUGCGUAACUUUGCAGUCUGAGUAAACUUAAUUAAUAAAUUAAAACUUUCAGCAACGGAUCU
rnacentral:misc_RNA from 1 species